UCUCUCCAUUGACUUCAAUACAUAAUUUUUCCGAAAUAAGGUCCCAUGGAGGUCCCGCGGAAAGGGAGGGACUUCGCCUCUAUGGAUGUCAUCAGAAUGUUUUUUUGGAGAAUUCUUGACUUUUAACAAAUGUAAUCAUUUUGUUUGUCUUGCUGAAAUGGCAUGAAACCAACAAAACUAACAAAUCAAAGCUGUCAAUUCUCCUUUUAUCAUCAUCUUUAUAGUCAAACAUCAUUUGUAUAGCACUAUAAUUCAUUCGUUUAACUUGAAUAACUGAUAUUUUGGGGUCUUUUGAUUAAUUAUUUUUAUAUAUGGGUAUGUUGUUUUACUGCAGGUAGCAUCUUUGAUUGAUUCUUCGUCAUGCGACAUUCUCCGUACUGUAUAGAUGGACAAUAACAUUUAUGGUAACUGAAAAUGUCAAUUUCUGAUGAACCUAAAGGGAAUAGUUUAGUGUUUGUAAUGCUGCUUCAGAUCUCUUGUGAUUGAAUAACCAGCAGUUUUAUUCAGAAAUGUGAGGUUUUUUCCAGUUUCUUCACGUACAUCUGUCAAAUAGUCGUGUGACAAUUUACAGAGAAUAUAAAUGAUGUAAGAGAAUUGUACACAAAUAUAAAUAAAUAAUUCCUUCCUAAUCUCUUAUUCAA